rnacentral:rRNA from 1 species
AUACUUUACGAAUCGCAUGGCCUUGUUGCCGGCGAUGGUUCAUUCAAAUUUCUUGCCCUAUCAACUUUCGAUGGUAGGAUAGUGGCCUACCAUGGUUUGCAACGGGUAACGGGGAAUUAGGGUUCUAUUCCGGAGAGGGAGCCUGAGAAACGGCUACCACAUCCAAGGAAGGCAGCAGGCGCGCAAAUUACCCAAUCCCGACACGGGGAGGUAGUGACAAUAAAUACUGAUACAGGGCUCAUACGAGUCUUGUGAAUUGGAAUGAGUACAAUUUAAAUCCCUUAACGAGGAACAAUUGGAGGGCAAGUCUGGUGCCAGCAGCCGCGGUAAUUCCAGCUCCAAUAGCGUAUAUUAAAGUUGUUGCAGUUAAAAAGCUCGUAGUUGAACCUUGGGUCUGGGUGACCGGUCUGCCUCACCGCAUGCACUGGGAACCCGGACCUUUCCUUCUGGCAACUCAUGCCCUUCACUGGGUGUAGUAAGGGGAACCAGGACUUUUACUUUGAAAACAAUUAGAGUGUCAAAGCAGGCAUUUGUCGAAUACAUUAGCAUGGAAUAAUUAGAAAUAGGACAGUGCGGUUACUAUAAAGAAGGUUACUAGGGACCGACGUAAUGAUUAAUAGGGAUAGGUCCGGGGAGGCAUCCGUAUUCAAUUGUCCAGAGGUGAAAUUCUU